AGAGUUUGAUCCUGGCUCAGAACGAACGCUGGCGGCAGGCCUAACACAUGCAAGUCGAGCGCGCCCUUCGGGGUGAGCGGCGGACGGGUUAGUAACGCGUGAGAACGUACCCAGAUCUAAGGAACAGCCACUGGAAACGGUGAGUAAUACCUUAUACGCCCUUCGGGGGAAAGAUUUAUCGGAUUUGGAUCGGCCCGCGUUAGAUUAGAUAGUUGGUGGGGUAACGGCCUACCAAGUCUACGAUCUAUAGCUGGUUUUAGAGGAUGAUCAGCAACACUGGGACUGAGACACGGCCCAAACUCCUACGGGAGGCAGCAGUGGGGAAUCUUGGACAAUGGGCGCAAGCCUGAUCCAGCCAUGCCGCGUGAGUGAUGAAGGCCCUAGGGUCGUAAAGCUCUUUCGCCAGGGAUGAUAAUGACAGUACCUGGUAAAGAAACCCCGGCUAACUCCGUGCCAGCAGCCGCGGUAAUACGGAGGGGGUUAGCGUUGUUCGGAAUUACUGGGCGUAAAGCGCGCGUAGGCGGGUUGUUAAGUUAGAGGUGAAAUCCCGGGGCUCAACCCCGGAACUGCCUUUAAUACUGGCAACCUAGAGUUCGAGAGAGGUGAGUGGAAUUCCGAGUGUAGAGGUGA
rnacentral:rRNA from 1 species